rnacentral:rRNA from 1 species
CCAUGCCGCGUGUGUGAAGAAGGCCUUCGGGGUUGUAAAGCACUUUCAGUAGGGAGGAAGGUAGUGUAGUUAACACCUGCAUUAUUUGACGUUACCUACAGAAGAAGCACCGGCUAACUCCGUGCCAGCAGCCGCGGUAAUACGGAGGGGUGCGAGCGUUAAUCGGAAUUACUGGGCGUAAAGCGCAUGCAGGCGGCCUGUUAAGUCAGAUGUGAAAGCCCGGGGCUUAACCUCGGAAUUGCAUUUGAAACUGGCAGGCUAGAGUCUUGUAGAGGGGGGUAGGAAUUUCAGGUGUAGCGGUGAAAUGCGUAGAGAUCUGAAGGAAUACCAGUGGCGAAGGCGGCCCCCUGGACAAAGACUGACGCUCAGAUGCGAAAGCGUGGGGAGCAAACAGGAUUAGAUACCCUGGUAG